GAAUCCGCCUAAGGAGUGUGUAACAACUCACCUGCCGAAUGAACUAGCCCUGAAAAUGGAUGACGCUUAAGCGGAUUGCCGACACCAGACCGUUUUGGUAAGAAGCGACCAGAAUGAGUAGGAGGGCGUGGCGGUUUUGUUGAGAAGGAUGAGACGCAAGUCUAUCUGAAACGGCCGCUAGUGCAGAUCUUGGUGGUAGUAGCAAAUAUUCAAGCGAGAUCCUUGAAGGGCGAAGCGGGGAAGGGUUCCACGCGAACAUUGAUUGGGCGUGGGUGAGUCGUUCCUAAGCCGGGUGGUAAUCGUUCUUCGAUCGGCGAAAGGGAAGCGGGUUAAAAUUCUCGCACACGGAUGUGGAAGCGGUGACGCAAAUUGAGGUGGAGACGUUAGCGAUGGCACUGGGCAGAGUUGUCUUUUCUGUUUAACCUGUGAGUGCACUCUGUGGAAUCCGAUUAUCGGGAGAAACAGGUGCUUAUGGGAAGAGCGUCGGGGCGUCCCCGGCGUCCAGUACGCCAUCGAUAGCCCCUGAAAAUCCAUCUGCAAUGAAAUUUCACGCCGUGGCGUACCGAUAACCGCAUCAGGUCCCCAAGGUGAACAGCCUCUGCUCAAUAUGAAUAAUGCAGGUAAGGGAAGUCGGCA
rnacentral:rRNA from 1 species